rnacentral:rRNA from 1 species
UCCUCCCUCUUUCUUCGUGCUUAACACAUGCAAGUCGAACGGAAAGGCCCUGCUUUUGUGGGGUGCUCGAGUGGCGAACGGGUGAGUAACACGUGAGUAACCUGCCCUUGACUUUGGGAUAACUUCAGGAAACUGGGGCUAAUACCGGAUAGGAGCUCCUGCUGCAUGGUGGGGGUUGGAAAGUUUCGGCGGUUGGGGAUGGACUCGCGGCUUAUCAGCUUGUUGGUGGGGUAGUGGCUUACCAAGGCUUUGACGGGUAGCCGGCCUGAGAGGGUGACCGGCCACAUUGGGACUGAGAUACGGCCCAGACUCCUACGGGAGGCAGCAGUGGGGAAUAUUGCACAAUGGGCGGAAGCCUGAUGCAGCAACGCCGCGUGCGGGAUGACGGCCUUCGGGUUGUAAACCGCUUUCGCCUGUGACGAAGCGUGAGUGGCGGUAAUGGGUAAAGAAGCACCGGCUAACUACGUG